AAAGAGGGGAACGUGAGGAGAAAGUACAAGGUCAGGAAGAAGCAGAGACUCAAAGACACACAAGACCCAGUAAAAGAGCCUGAGAGGAGUUCAGAAGCGCUCCCAUAAAAGAUGCAGGGACUGCAGAGAAGAUCUCCAUGACUCUGACAGAGAUUUCAGUUUUCAUGAAGAAAUAGGACAUGGAGCUUCAGCUGAGAACAGAGAAAGAGAGAGGAAGAGGCUGCCAUCACAGGGUUACGGUUGCAGAGGAGAAAUGAAGGGCAUGGCUUUUCAAGACUGCUAUGUCUGAAAAUGGUCUCUAUUUAUAAAGGCAAUUUCAGAACACCACAUUUUUGACUGUGGGAUGUUUAUGGACCCGGAAUCCAGAGAGUUAUCAUGGCGUGUGCAAAUUCUUUUACGUAGCCCAGCUUAAAUUUCACUCAGACCAAAACAGAAAUGCCAAAAAAACAGAGCUCCAUAUCUGCCUUUUUCACAGCUCCUCGGAGAGUUCUCAAUAAGAUGUGCACUUGUGAGCCACCAAACAUGGAUUCAGUGCAGCCUCUUUCAUCAUCAUACCGAAUUUCCCAGAGGAACCCACCCGAGGGAUUAAUAAAGUUUUAUCUUAUCUUAUCUGACUCAGCUACACCGACAGCCACAGCGUCAGGGAAAAAACGAGGGCGGAUUGUUGGUCUUGAAAACUUCGACUUUGAGCCCGUUUUAGUUGACGAGUGUAAAAUUAGAAAUGUGACUGAGAAGGAAACAGAAUUAUGGCAGGCACAUUCAGAAAACCAUUCAACUUUACAAAAUGUAUACUGUGAAUCUGAAGAAGAGAAGCCUGGAAAGUGUGAACCACCACAGAAUAAGAGGAGGGUCUCUGAUGCCACCUUUACACAAGAUGACAGUCAACCUCUACCACAGACGUGGAGUCAGGACCCUGUUCACUUUCAGUCAGUACACUGAAAAUGAGUUUCAUCAGACUAACCACAAAUGUACGACAGUCAAGAACUUCAGCAGCUCUGAGCCAAGUUUCCUAAACAGUCUGCAGUAUGAGGAGGACGAAGUCUUUAGAAAACUGAUAGCUGCAGAAGGACUAACCUCAACUCAAAAAUCUUUAAAACGCCUUCAUUCUUCUCAUAUGAUUAAUGAGAAGGAAAACGGGACGCCACUGUCUUAUAAUUCCCCAGGAAAAAUCUCCUGUUUCUCUCAUUUCAGACCUGUUUCAAAUCAUAAGCAGACACAACCAAAAACCGCUUCAUGUCGGAAACAAACAGGUAAGACUUUUUAAAAAAAAUCUUUUAUCAUGAGGGGCAGAGAAGAUGACAAGAACAGGAAAGACUGAACUAACAGUCUUUUAGUAUACUUUUUAUUACAAACCCUAACGAGCAGUAACUGAUUAUGUGUUGCUCUACACUUGUAGGAUGCAUCUAAAAGGCAUGCGGGGCAGAGGAGAUGAGCGGAAGAGGAAACAGAUAUGGAGGACAGAUAGCGCCAUCGAUAUGUUGCUCAUCAAUGACCAACAAUUAGCAGAAAUCUGGCAACGGACAGUUUGCAAAAAGACGGCAUUACACCCCAAGCCUCCACUGUCCCGGUAACAGCGGAUUACCAUGGAGAGUAAAGUUUUCAGUUGGUAAAGCAAAAAAAAAAAAAAAGUCAGAGGGCUGCCUCCUGCCCUGCCCUCUGACAUUUUUACUCUCCAUGGUAAUCCGCUUCUCCCCUCUCCCCCCUCGUCCUCACCUCCUUACCUGUGCCCCUCCCUUUAGGCAGGGAGGGGUCUAAAUUCAUUUCCCUGUUCAUAUUUCAGCCUCCCUUCUCCCCACUCACCCCUCCUCCUCACCUCCUCCUCAUCCCUCCUUCUCUCCCUUCCUUUGUGUGGAGUUUGGUGUGGAGUUUGGUGUGGAGAAAACCAAGUUUCCACUUGGUGGUGGAACCAGACAGUCAGGCAAGUUCAUGCUGCAAGGACCGUGCACGUCCUCCUGCCUUCAAAAGAGGGGGGAGGAGGACGUGAAUAGUUCAGCCUUCCUUCUCCCCCCUCACCCUCACCUCCUCACCUCCUCCUCAUCCCUCCUUCUCUCCCUUCCUUUGUGUGGAGUUUGGUGUGGAGAAAAACAAGUUUUCUCUUGUUGAGAACUUCCACUAAACAGUACCGGGAUAGACACAACACUUAAAAAGUUAACGGCUACGACAACGGGGAAAAAAUGUUUAAAAAGAAGCCUUACGGUGGAUCCGAUUCCUCCCACCCAAAUGUUAUUUAUGUGAAAAUAAAAAUGCCACCGCACACGUUUGCUUGAGGAAUCCAUCAGACCAGACCACCUCCAUUUUGUGAACCCACAGAACCCUCCCCAUCUGGCUCUCCCCUCCUCACCCCUCCUCCUCUCCCAUCCUCUGUGUGGAGAAAACCAUGUUUCAGAACUGUGGGAUGUUUAUGGACGCGGAAUCCAAAGAGUUGCCUUGCUCUCCCUCCUAGGUCAACAAAGGCACCCAUCUUGCACCAUGAACAACAGGAAGGCCUAACCCAGAAGAAGCCUAACAUGAAAAAACAACACGAUCUGUUACCUUGUACAGACUGGUGGAGAUUGGAGAUUUGAUCGAGGAGUGGCCAGAGACAAACGUUUUCUAGAGAGGCCCCUUUGAGAUGGCACCAUCCUGGGAGAAACGGAACCUGGGCCGCCGUCUCCAGCCCGACUCGUUGGACCAGAACCAGGCGGUGGUUAUAGCCAAGCUAGCAGACUGGAAUCCAGCUACCACAUCAGCAGUGACAAACCCAGUAAACAAGAAUGACAGCCACAGAACGACAGGUCUGCACUCCAACGAGAGACCCCAACACACAGAGGAAACUCCAGGACUGGAAUCUUCAUGUGAAGAAAAUAUCGGUGAUCAUCGGUGACUCCAAUGUGCACAGACUCCUCCGUCCUAUAAAGCAGAGGGGUACAGAUCGACAGAUUUCCAUGAGCGAAAUGUUGCCACCCGGUGAGGCCCAGCUGGAGAAAGCACCCUGUGGAAAAUCUGGUUUUAUAACUUUGGACUGAAUACCAGUGAUGGAGCUGAAAAUGGGACUAAAGGCAGAGCAGCCGCAUCGUGCCGCACAUGUGUGGACGAGGACAUGCCAGGAACAGGAAACACAAGAGAGUCAGCCACCCGAGCUUCACAGGGCCCGAAUCAGCUGAACCCAUAUUCAGCCCAACGCUGCCUCCAAAUCUCCUCGUCCUCUCCUCCGCCUGCUGGGACCAGUAGGCAGCACAUCGCCUGCUUCUGGGAGCUUUAGGCAGGAGCGACCAGGCUGCAUCGUGCCGCGUAUGUGUGCAACAGGACAUGCCAAGAACAGGAAACACAAGAGAGUCAGCCAUCCAAGCUUCACAGGGCAGAAAUCACCUCAACCCAUAUUCAGCCCACCGCUGCCUCCAAAUCUCCUCCUCCUCUCCUCCACCUCCUGGGACCAAUAGGCAGCACAUCUCCUGCUUCUGGGAGCUUUACGCAGCAGCGACCAGGUAAAGCAUGGUCUCCGUCGCCAGCUUGACCGCCAAGUCUUCUGGGAGGGGUACAGAGGACCGCAGAGAGGGAUGGACCGCGCACGCUCCUUUUCCUCCCGGAAAAGGGAUUAUGUUCCUCAUCCUUACCCUGAUUGAACCGAGUACUAGAGAGCUUCAUUUAUACAAACAAUUAUAAAAAAUUGCAAAAGGAAAACGUGAAAUAUUACUCUGGAACUUUACGAGAGCACAUCUUCCCUGAGCUGUCCACCAUGCUGAACGGCUCUAACCAAAUUAGGAACAUAGGUUUUUUUUUUUCAAAAGCAAAUGUUUUAAAAAAGAAAAGAACAGAAAAACAUAACUGAACACAACAGUAUGUCAGUGUACAGUGAGUGAUCAGGCAGUACAGUUUUAGGAA